rnacentral:rRNA from 1 species
GAUGAACGCUAGCGGCAGGCCUAACACAUGCAAGUCGAGCGGGAUUAAUUGGUAGCUUGCUACUGGUUAUGAGAGCGGCGCACGGGUGCGUAACGCGUAUGCAACCUACCCUGUACUGAGGGAUAGCCCAGAGAAAUUUGGAUUAACCCCUCAUAGUAUUAUUGAAAGGCAUCUUUUAAUAAUUAAAGGUUGCGGUACAGGAUGGGCAUGCGUCCUAUUAGCUAGUUGGUACGGUAACGGCGUACCAAGGCGACGAUAGGUAGGGGGCCUGAGAGGGUGGUCCCCCACACUGGUACUGAGACACGGACCAGACUCCUACGGGAGGCAGCAGUGAGGAAUAUUGGUCAAUGGGCGCAAGCCUGAACCAGCCAUGCCGCGUGCAGGAAGAAUGCCCUAUGGGUUGUAAACUGCUUUUAUUUGGGAAUAAACCUCCUUACGUGUAGGGAGCUGAAGGUACCAAAUGAAUAAGCACCGGCUAACUCCGUGCCAGCCGCCGCCGUAACAC